CAAAAAGACACUUAUACUAUGAAAGAGGUUCUUUUUUAUCUUGGCCAGUAUAUUAUGACUAAACGAUUAUAUGAUGAGAAGCAACAACAUAUUGUAUAUUGUUCAAAUGAUCUUCUAGGAGAUUUGUUUGGCGUGCCAAGCUUCUCUGUGAAAGAGCACAGGAAAAUAUAUACCAUGAUCUACAGGAACUUGGUAGUAGUCAAUCAGCAGGGUAAGUUAAUUUUGAGCAUCAUGGAUAAAUACCAUAAAAA
rnacentral:sRNA from 1 species